UACGCUUUAUACGUUACUCAAAAAAAAAAAAACGCUUUAUACAUGUACCACGGUCCAGAAAUUUUUCGGCCACAACACGCAACAGCGGGCUGCUUUUGCGUUUCCGAGUGCAGAAAACAGAGAGGAGGGCGGCGGCUGGAGAAGGAGAUCGAGAGGACGGCGAUGCUUAGCAGCGCCGGUGGCGAUUACCCAUGGAUCCGGUGUGCAGGUUGCCAAUCUUCAUCGAUGGGGUUGUCCCCGCUGGCUCGGAUCUGAACGACGGGAGCGAGGCCGGUAGUGGCGGUCGAGUAGGCGUGCGGGAGUCGUCUGUGGCUGCGUACUUCAAUGGCGGCGACCCCGCCCGGGACGAUGCGAACAGUCUAGUCAGUCAGGCGAGUCUGCGAUCAAACCAUAUCCGCGACCACCCGGCUGAAUCUUCAGCGUGUUUGGUUGGAGAGUUAGCGUGGUUCCGAGCGCCAUGCGCUAGCAGAAUGGGUGCUCUGGAGAAAAUGAUAAGAGGAUUUGCAGAGAGGGAUGGCGAAGAAGUGAUCAAGCUGGAGCUGGGCAACACCUUCAACUCACUGACAAAGGCAUACCACUGCUACAAUUUGUAUUCCUGGGAGCACAGAUUGAUACUCACUCCGUCCCAAAAUGUAAGAUCAUUUUUUAUCAUUUUUGUCAUAUGAUAGUGUAAAAGUGUUAAAAAUGAUCUUACAUUUUGGGAUGGAUGGAGUAUGAGAUAUGGAAAGAGCCGGCUCAAUCCUGAGAAGUGGAAGACAAUGCAGGAAAUUGUUUGUGGACGCUCGGGGAAACCUUUGCAUGAGAACAGGUGCGAGUGUACAUGAGGUUGUAGUUUGAUCGCCAGUCCGAUGAGAGCUACGAGGAGAAAAGAACCAAGAUUGGUGGCGACGUCCUCAAAACGAACUCGUCAAUUGAAAUACAUGCCAGCAAGGUGUACACUCGGGCGAGCAAUUCGGCCAAAUUUUGUACUAGUCGGGUGGGUAUCGGGUCGAACAGGCUGAGAACAAUGAAUUAUACAGGGCAACACACACUCGGCCUGAAAAGAAGGGAGAAAUGGAGCAGGGUUGUUUUCCUGGUGAAGAUGAUUGACAAUUGAGCAGAAUCUGAAUGUGAAUGUGAUUAUGGACUAUCGUGGCAUGACAGAGAUACCAGAAAGGCACAUUGUAAAAAGGUGGACAAGGGAUGUGAGGGAUGUUUUGCCAGAUCACCUUCAGCAUUACCAGGGAGACCAGCUCUGUGCCACCGCGCUAACAUUCAGGCAUACAAGAAUGUACGUCAAGGCACUAGAGCUGGUUAAGCUCGAAGAUGUGAGUGUGGAAGCGUAUGAAAGACUGAUGAGUCUGUUCGAGCAAGCCAUUGUUGUGAUGACGCCAUUUGAGCAUGCCAGGGAUGGGCUUGGGCUCGAGGACCGUGCUACCAAUAAGCAAGCCACCAAGGUAGCUGAGCAGGCAGUAACUGUUGACAGCGCACACGACAGGAUGUCAGGGCACAGCAACCUCCUUCGUGAUUGGGAGCACCCCUGAAGAUGAGGACUGCAGGGAGGCCUAUGAACACGAGGGACAAGACGCUGUAUGAAGGCCUGAGCAAAGAGGAGUAGAUUCUGUAGCAUCUGCAAAACGCAGGGUCGUAAGAGAACAACAUGCCCGCAGCAAGGAGACGCUCCUAAAACGCAGAUGAAGGAAGCAAAGUGCAGCAACCUAUUGAUACGGACGAUGGGAUGAGAGGUAAUCGGACAUGACAGAGGUAAUCGGAUAUAUCGACAGAAUGAAAAAUCGGCGAGCCGUGCCAUGCCAACCGAACCAACUGAAAAACCAGAGUUUGGGGAGACAAGUACCCGGUUUAAUUAUUAUUAUUAGGGGAGAUAUAAGUGCCCCUAUGCUUUAAUACAUGUUCAACACAACUUGGCAGGGUAACAUCCCAGAAGAAUAUUUAUUCAGCAUGGAGUUAGGAACCAAGUCAACUCCAUGUGUUGUAGCUUUUUAUUUAUUCCUUAUUAGGCUUCAGAUCCAGAGGAGGGGUAGCACUCCAUCACUGCACUCCAUCUUGCCCUUCUCCACACCUGUAGUUCAACAAAAGCACAUUCAGCUCAAGGCUGCUGUCAUGGAUCUAAAACCCCAGGAAAGUUCAUGGUACUAAUGGUGGGCAGAGUAUCCAAUUCAGCAUUGUAAAUUGCAUGGUAUGAAUAAAACGAAAGAAAAAUACUUGCCUG
rnacentral:rRNA from 1 species